CGGUGAGAUUUCCGGGACACCCAGAUCUUAUGAGCGUCACGCUGAGACUAAGAACGAGUUGGGCGGUGAAAAUGAAGGAACAUCCUCGUACCGAACCGCAACAGGACUCCUAGGUGAGAAGCCUAAGGCAUAAUUGUAAUGUGAGCAAGGGAAAUCGGCAAAAUGGAUGAAAAACCUCGGGAUAAUCAUUGGCUCUAGCAUGCUAGAACUGGGCUUACAAGGGGAAUCUGACUGUUUAAUAAAAACAUAGCUUUGUGUGUACGCAAAGUGAAUUCUGCCCAGUGCUUGGGACGUUAAGGAAGUAAUUUUAAGUACGCACCUGUAAACGGCGGGAGUAACUAUGACUCUCUUAAGGUAGCCAAAUGCCUCGUCGCCUAAUUAGCGACGCGCAUGAAUGGAGCAACGAGAUUCCCACUGUCCCUGCUCACAGAUUUGCGAACCUACAGCCAAGGGAACGGGCUUGGGACAUGCAGCGGGGAAAGAAGACCCUGUUGAGCUUGACUCUAGCCAAGCACAGGCCUCUGUGACUAUAUCGUAGCGAGGUGGGAGAAAUGUGUGAGACCACUGACAUAGUCGGCGGGGGCACUCGCAAAGCUUGGUGGGGAGUUUGGCUGGGGCGGCACGACUACUAAAACAUAACGUAGACGUCCAAAGGUAAGCUCCGAGGGGAUGGAAACCACUCCGAGAGUAUAAGGGCAAAAGCUUGCUUUAGUUAUUAAUGUAAAUUAAUAAUACUGGAAACAGGGGCCUAGAGAUCCUCUAUGAAACUAAGCAUAGAGGUGACGGAAAAGUUACCACAGGGAUAACUGGCUUGUGGCGGCCGAGCGUCCAUAGCGACGCCGCUUUUUGAUUCUUCGAUGUCGGCUCUUCCGAGCAUGGUGGAGUAUCAGCCACCAAGUGUGUGAUUGUUCACCAACUAACAGGGAACGUGAGCUGGGUUUAGACCGUCCCGAGGACAGGUUAGUUUUACCCUACUGCAUCGCGUCCAAGAGUAGGUCGGGGCAGUACAAAAGGAAAUGCCGAUCAGAACCCUGGUGAAACUUUCGUCUGUUAAAGGCCCAAAUGUACCUACGUUCUUCUUAAAUAACUGAAAGCCCCAAACUAGAAUUGAGUAUUUAGGAAGCAAAGAUUUAAAACUACUUUGUAGGGAUGAAGGUGUACAAUAUACCUUCUGCAAUAUUUCAACACUUUUUUCCUUUUAAAAAAGGUUUCUCGAAACAUAAGGAUUCCGGGAAAGAAAAUUUUUUUUUUAUUGCGGGUCGGUUUUUUCUGGGGUGUCCCAAUGCCGGGGAAAGC
rfam:Enterocytozoon bieneusi H348 ctg01_733, whole genome shotgun sequence.